rnacentral:rRNA from 1 species
GUCGAGCGGACAGAUGGGAGCUUGCUCCCUGAUGUUAGCGGCGGACGGGUGAGUAACACGUGGGUAACCUGCCUGUAAGACUGGGAUAACUCCGGGAAACCGGGGCUAAUACCGGAUGGUUGUUUGAACCGCAUGGUUCAAACAUAAAAGGUGGCUUCGGCUACCACUUACAGAUGGACCCGCGGCGCAUUAGCUAGUUGGUGAGGUAACGGCUCACCAAGGCAACGAUGCGUAGCCGACCUGAGAGGGUGAUCGGCCACACUGGGACUGAGACACGGCCCAGACUCCUACGGGAGGCAGCAGUAGGGAAUCUUCCGCAAUGGACGAAAGUCUGACGGAGCAACGCCGCGUGAGUGAUGAAGGUUUUCGGAUCGUAAAGCUCUGUUGUUAGGGAAGAACAAGUACCGUUCGAAUAGGGCGGUACCUUGACGGUACCUAACCAGAAAGCCACGGCUAACUACGUGCCAGCAGCCGCGGUAAUACGUAGGUGGCAAGCGUUGUCCGGAAUUAUUGGGCGUAAAGGGCUCGCAGGCGGUUUCUUAAGUCUGAUGUGAAAGCCCCCGGCUCAACCGGGGAGGGUCAUUGGAAACUGGGGAACUUGAGUGCAGAAGAGGAGAGUGGAAUUCCACGUGUAGCGGUGAAAUGCGUAGAGAUGUGGAGGAACACCAGUGGCGAAGGCGACUCUCUGGUCUGUAACUGACGCUGAGGAGCGAAAGCGUGGGGAGCGAACAGGAUUAGAUACCCUGGUAGUCCACGCCGUAAACGAUGAGUGCUAAGUGU